rnacentral:rRNA from 1 species
CAUGCAAGUCGAACGAGGAUAUAUCCUUCGGGAUAUAAGCCGAGUGGCGCAAGGGUGAGUAAUGCAUAGAUUACCUGCCUCUAGGAUAAGGACAACUUUGUGAAAACGAAGCUAAUACUUAAUAAUACAAAAGAAAAUAAUUUUCUUUUGUCAAUGGGAGGGUAGCAAUACCUUUUGCCUAGAGAGGGGUUUAUGUCCUAUCAGCUUGUUGGUGGGGUAAUGGCCUACCAAGGCGGAGACGGGUAGCCGGUCUUAGAGGAUGGUCGGCCACACUGGGACUGAGACACUGCCCAGACUUCUACGGAAGGCUGCAGUUGAGAAUCUUUCGCAAUGCCCGAAAGGGUGACGAAGCGACGCCGCGUGAGUGAGGAAGGCCUUAGGGUUGUAAAGCUCUGUCAGGAGUUAAGAAAUAUAAGUGUGUUAAUACCACGUUUAUUUGACGAAGGCUCCAAAGGAAGCCACGGCUAACUCUGUGCCAGCAGCCGCGGUAAUACAGAGGUGGCAAGCGUUGUUCGGAAUUAUUGGGCGUAAAGAGCACGUAGGUGGGUUUGUAAGUCAGAUGUGAAAGCCUUCUGUUCAACGGAAGAAUUGCAUCUGAAACUGCAAGUCUUGAGUGUAGGAGGGGAGAAUGGAACUUCUGGUGGAGCGGUGAAAUGCGUAGAUAUCAGAAGGAACGCCGGCGGCGAAAGCGAUUCUCUGGCCUAUUACUGACGCUCAGUGUGCGAAAGCUAGGGGAGCAAACGGGAUUAGAUACCCCGGUAGUCCUAGCCGUAAACGAUGGGCACUAAGUAGAGGGAAUUACCGAUGUUCUCUCUGCCGUAGCUAACGCAUUAAGUGCCCCGCCUGGGGAGUACGGCCGCAAGGCUAAAACUCAAAAGAAUUGACGGGGGCUCGCACAAGCGGUGGAGCAUGUGGCUUAAUUCGAUGCAACGCGAAAAACCUUACCGGGGCUUGACAUGGUAGAAGUAGGAACCCGAAAGGGUAACGAACGGUAUCCAGUCCAUAGCUAUCACAGGUGUUGCAUGGCUGUCGUCAGCUCGUGUCGUGAGACGUUGGGUUAAGUCCCCUAACGAGCGAAACCCUUGUUUUUAGUUACCAGCGGGUUAUGCCGGGUACUCUAGAAAGACUGCCGUCGUCAAGACGGAGGAAGGUGGGGAUGACGUCAAGUCAUCAUGGCCCUUAUGCCCCGGGCUGCACACGUGCUACAAUGGUCGGUACAAACGGAAGCGAAGCCGAGAGGUGAAGCGAAUCCUAAAAAGCCGAUCUCAGUUCGGAUUGGAGGCUGAAAUUCGCCUCCAUGAAGUUGGAAUCGCUAGUAAUCGCGGAUCAGCAAUGCCGCGGUGAAUAUGUUCCCGAGCCUUGUACACACCGCCCGUCAAGCCACCCAAGCAGGAUGCACCCGAAAACAUUAUAUCUAACCAGGGCAACUUGGAGGAAAGUGUUGAAGGAGUGUUUUGUGAGGAGGACUAAGUCGUAACAAGGUAGUCGUAGGAGAACCUGCGGCUGGAUCACCUCCUUUCU